GAUGAACGCUGGCGGCGUGCCUAAUACAUGCAAGUCGAGCGAACGGACGAGAAGCUUGCUUCUCUGAUGUUAGCGGCGGACGGGUGAGUAACACGUGGAUAACCUACCUACAAGACUGGGAUAACUUCGGGAAACCGGAGCUAAUACCGGAUGAUAUUUUGAACCGCAUGGUUCAAAAGUGAAAGACGGUCUUGCUGUCACUUAUAGAUGGAUCCGCGCUGCAUUAGCUAGUUGGUAAGGUAACGGCUUACCAAGGCAACGAUGCAUAGCCGACCUGAGAGGGUGAUCGGCCACACUGGAACUGAGACACGGUCCAGACUCCUACGGGAGGCAUCAGUAGGGAAUCUUCCGCAAUGGGCGAAAGCCUGACGGAGCAACGCCGCGUGAGUGAUGAAGGUAUUCGGAUCGUAAAACUCUGUUAUUAGGGAAGAACAUAUGUGUAAGUAACUGUGCACAUCUUGACGGUACCUAAUCAGAAAGCCACGGCUAACUACGUG
rnacentral:rRNA from 1 species